rnacentral:rRNA from 1 species
GAUGAACGCUGGCGGUGUGCCUAAUACAUGCAAGUCGAGCGAACAGACGAGGAGCUUGCUCCCUUGACGUUAGCGGCGGACGGGUGAGUAACACGUGGAUAACCUACCUAUAAGACUGGGAUAACUUCGGGAAACCGCAGCUACUAACGGAUAAUAUAUUGAACCGCAUGGUUCAAUAGUGAAAGACGGUUUUGCCGUUACUUAUAGACGGAUCCGUGCCGGAUUAGCUAGUUGGUAAGGUAACGGCCUACCAAGGCAACGAUGCGUAGCUGACCUGAGAGGGUGAUCAGCCACACUGGAACUGAGACACGGUCCAGACUCCUACGGGAGGCAGCAGUGGGGAAUAUUGGACAAUGGGCGCAAGCCUGACCCAGCCAUACCGCGUGGGUGAAGAAGGUCUUCGGGUUGUAAAGCCCUUUUGUUGGGAAAGAAAAGCAGCAGGUGAAUACCCGGCUGUUCUGACGGUACCCAAAGAAUAAGCACCGGCUAACUUCGUG